rnacentral:lncRNA from 1 species
AAUUUGGUUUACUCACGCCAGGUGCCGUCUACAGGAGAUUGUCUAGCUUUGUUCUCAUGCCAUUCGUGAACUAGAUCGUGUGGAGGCAUUCAUGGGUGCAUGUUUGUUUACCAUUCAGUUUGCAGGUAUGGCCUCUUUAGAGAACUCUAGAAUCUUCAUAUUUUUAUUUUGAUUAGUGCCCUUCUUUUCAAUAUUCAUGGUGUCUUUUUCGUAUAUAACAUGAUACAAAUUACAUUCAUGUCGUUUCUUUUAUUUUUCAAUUAUUUUUUGAACUAUAAAUCUAUAUAUGCAGUAAAUGAUUGAUGAGUGCAUUUUGCUUGUUGGUUGUCUGUAUACACACUUAUGCAGAUUUGCACGGUGCUCAAAACAGGCCCAAUGCAAGUUGUGUGCUUCAAUUUUUCUUUGUUCUACCAAGUCAGUUUUAAUUCCCCAAGCUGAUUGUUUGGAUCACAAGUUUUAUCGAGAACGAGAUUUAGUUAAAGGAGAUUUGAGGCUAACUACUUAACACUCCGUUUGGAUAGAUAGUGGAAAACGUGACUAACAAAAAGAACGAUUUCACUACACUCCUACCUGGUCUUUACAAACCAAAUUCCCAUGCCUCCUUUUUUGUGUCACAUCCUUGUUUUUUGGUUCUUCCUUCUAACAUGAGAGAAAAAUGAUUUGAUGUGAUGUAAUAGAUCUCCACAAAUAGUCUAAUCUGAAUAUAAAAAACACAGAUAAGUUGUGGUAGUCACCCCCUAAUAACUGAUUUCUUAGAGUUGCUCAUGAGUUGAUUCAGAGUUUCCCUGUAUCUACAUGUUCUAUAAGAUAUGGUCAAUUGCAGUCUUAGCAAUGAGUUUCCUUGUAUCUACAUGUUCUAUGUGAUCAAUGGUUCUGGGAAGAUAGAAAUGAAUGUUUUGGAAAAGCUUUUGCCUUGAGGAGCCAUUCCUGUUAUUGUCUCAGGUAUACAGACUCAAAGGUUCCUUUGGACUGAUUACACAGGAUAUACAUGCUUUGGAAUAGCAUCAAUAUUAUUAUUGGCAUAUCAAGGCAUGUGUAGGCAUAGUAUCUCAAUGUCCUUCCCAGGUGCCAACCUCAUUCCAUUCUCCACCUGAUCAGUACACACAUGCUCUGUUUACAAUUUGAAUUAGUCACAUUUUAGAACAUGACAGAUUUCACAUGAUUUAAAAAAUGAAAGAGAAACUACCUCUGUAUGUUUGAAACGUUUCCACUAACUCAUUGCCGACUUAUGUUUCUGGUGUAGGCUGAUUGUCACUGCAGGGGAUGAGACAGGCGUACGAUAUAUAUACACAUAUAUUCAUUUGUCUUCAUUUAUGUGAUACUUGUGCUGUCUCAAGGAAUCUGUAUGGCGCCCGAGAGGGUGCUACUGAUUCUAGUAGUCUUUAAU